AUGUCCUUAUUUUUUCCCCAUAGCUAUUUUGUACUUUUAAUUAGUCCUGUAGAACGCAUACAAGUAGAACGUAUAGAAGUUCAUGAAGCGCCAUGUUUAUUUCCCUUUUCAAUUCAACCUGAUGUUACAUCUUACAUGAAAGCAGAACAUGCAUCCGAGAAGAAACUAUUGUUUCAUUACUACCAGAUUAUAGUACAGAUGGACAUCUACAUAAACAAAACAUACUUUACCAGAAAGAAAGAUCUCCUUCAAGAUAUACUCAGCAAUUCCUGCUACACCGAGGCACCCAAACUUCCUCAAGAGAACCCUACCUUUCUCCUUCAAGAUGUCCUGAAUUUUGAAGGUCUGUCCACAAAGCACCGGCCUGGACACAGACAUACGCCAUAA
rnacentral:rRNA from 1 species